UAGAUGAGUCCUUACCAUUAAUCCUUAGCAUUAUUUCAAUAUAAUAUUAUUAUUUUGGUUUAAUUAGCUAGGGAUCAAUCCUUCAAGAAGGAUUGGAAGGACUCAAUCCUUAACACACGUGUCUCUCUCUAUCUCUCCUCCCACGCUCUCUCUCUCGAUCUCUCCUUGCUCCAUCAUCUCCCACCAUGAUCCUAUCUCUCUCUCUCUCUCUUUACUUCAUUUCUCUCACUCGGACACUGCAAAUUGCCAGUCGAGAUUUGUCACCGCCUGUUUUAUAAUUCCUCUUCUCCCUUUUCGUUUUUUCCCCGUAUCAAUGGAUCCUACAAUUCCUCUUCAAUCAUAUUUGUGAGUUUGUUUUGGUGUUACUGCAAUCAUGACGUGGGUUGUGUAGCUACUUAAAUUGGUGCUGGAAGAGUUCUCUUUCCCUUUCUCUGCACUAGAUACUGCAUUGAAGUUAGGAUUUUUAGCUAUGCUAUUGGGGAUAUCGUGUUUUGUGUGUGUUGAAUUGGCAGGAGGGUACUCUGACUUUGGUUGAAAUUUUCAUACGUAGUCUUGCUUUGUUUUCUCUUCAUAAAGUUUUGUCCUUUCUAUGGUGAACGUGAAGCUCUUUUUCUGUUUUAUCUGGAUUCUGUUAUCAGUCAAAAAUCUCAUGAAAUGAAAUUGCAUAAAUCUUAUUAGGUGUUUGAAAAAGCUUGAAUCUUUUAUGUGUUGUUCCUUGAAGUUAGGUUGUUAAAGAAAUUAGAAUUUUUGCUAAGGUUUUUUUUUUUUAAAUGACUUGUUUGUGUCUGGCAGGGGAAGUGAAAUGGCUCUUAUCAAUUUGGAAGCUCAUGUGUUGCUGCUCAGUGGGGGAUUCGUCGUCCUCAUGUUGCAGUCAAAGCUUCUUUUUAUCCAACCAGAUUGGAAUCUCACCAUGACAACAGUUGCAUCAGCCAAAUAAAUUGUUUGGGAGCUUCACAGUCGAGUAUGUUUUCACAUGGCUCCUUGCCCUUCUUGUCACUUGUAAUGGGACAGUCCCGUAAUUCACAUUCUCGUAGAGGAGCUCGCUUCACCGUUAGGCCUUAGGUUGAGUAAACAAAAUAUACUUUUGAGUUUAUGUCGUGGAUCCCAAUAACGUCGGAACGUUACGGAUGCAGUGGAAGUGAAUGGAGGGAUUAUUGUGUCGGUGGUGAAGGAGGAAGAUUGGUUUAAGAAGCAGAGGAGCCGAGUGAAAGUGAUUGACUAUGGCGAAUCUGUCAUCAUGCCUGGUCUUGUUGAUGUGUAAGUUUGAUCUUAAACCACAUCACCAAGGACUCGGUUCUGUGUAGUUUAUGCUUCCUUCUGGAACAAUGGCUGCUGCUGCUGGUAAUCAAGUCAUGUUUCAAUUACUUUGAGUUUCGGUACUUAAACAUUGGCUCUUUCUUUGAAAGUUAGUUUCCUAGUAAAGUUGGCUCUUUCCUUGACCAAUGAAACAUAAACUCUUUCUUUUUUUUUGAACUUCAUGAAUACAAAACGCUAAGGACUCUAAUUCAAGUAACACCAUUGGACUUGA